rnacentral:rRNA from 1 species
AAACCAGCACCUCAAGUGGUCAGGAGGGUUAUUGGGCCUAAAGCAUCCGUAGCCGGCUCUGUAAGUUUUCGGUUAAAUCUGUACGCUCAACGUACAGGCUGCUGGGAAUACUGCAGGGCUAGGGAGUGGGAGAGAUAGACGGUACUCGGGAGGAAGUGGUAAAAUGCUUUGAUCUCUCGAUGACCACCUGUGGCGAAGGCGGUCUAUCAGAACACGUCCGACGGUGAGGGAUGAAAGCUGGGGGAGCAAACCGGAUUAGAUACCCGAGUAGUCC